AAAAUGGCCCUUUUAAGGGCCCCAUAUAAUUCUACAAAAGGAUUAA
rfam:Aedes aegypti strain Liverpool supercont1.1725 genomic scaffold, whole genome shotgun sequence.